GACGAACGCUGGCGGCGUGCCUAAUACAUGCAAGUCGAACGCAGUGGGGACGGGUGAGUAACACGUGGGUAACCUCCCAUAAGAGGGGAUAACACUUGGAAACAGGUGCUAAACCGAUACUGAUGGAUGGACCCGCGGUGCAUUAGGUAGUUGGUGAGGUAACGGUUCCACAAGGCCACGAGGAAUAGCCGACCGAGGAGGGGGGUGGGCCACACUGGGACUGGGACAGGCCCCCUCCUCCUACGGUAGGCAGAAGUAGUGAAUCUGCAGCAAGGUAUGAAAGUCUGACCGGGAAACCCCGCGUGAGUGAAGAAGGUUUUCGGAUCGUAAAACUCUGUUGUUAGAGAAGCGGUAUCUAACCAGAAAGCCACGGAUAACUACUUGCCAGCAGCCGCGGGAAUUC
rnacentral:rRNA from 1 species